rnacentral:rRNA from 1 species
CCGGUUGAUCCUGCCGGNACNCGGAUGGCUAAUCAAGAGUGGGAGUAACCCAUCGGAGGUCAACGCCGUAAGGCGUGGCAUACGGGUCAGUAACANGUAGUCAAACAUGCCCAAAGGANGUGGAUAACCUCGGGNAAACUGAGGAUAAACCGCGAUAGGGCCAAGGUUUCUGGAAUGAGCCAUGGCCGAAAUCUAUAUGGCCUUUGGAUUUGGACUGCGGCCGAUCAGGCUGUUGGUGAGGUAAUGGCCCACCAAACCUGUAACCGGUACGGGCUUUGAGAGAAGGAGCCCGGAGAUGGGGCACUGAGACGAGGGCCCAGGCCCUAUGGGGCGCAGCAGGCGCGAAACCUCUGCAAUAGGCGAAAGCUUGACAGGGUUACUCUGAGUGAUGCCCGCUAAGGGUAUCUUUUGGCACCUCUAAAAAUGGUGCAGAAUAAGGGGUGGGCAAGUCUGGUGUCAGCCGCCGCGGUAAUACCAGCACCCCGAGUUGUCGGGACGAUUAUUGGGCCUAAAGCAUCCGUAGCCUGUUCUGCAAGUCCUCCGUUAAAUCCACCUGCUCAACGGAUGGGCUGCGGAGGAUACCGCAGAGCUAGGAGGCGGGAGAGGCAAACGGUACUCAGUAGGUAGGGGUAAAAUCCAUUGAUCUACUGAAGACCACCAGUGGCGAAGGCGGUUUGCCAGAACGCGCUCGACGGUGAGGGAUGAAAGCUGGGGGAGCAAACCGGAUUAGAUACCCGGGUAGUCCCAGCUGUAAACGAUGCAGACUCGGUGAUGGGUUGGCCUCGAGCCAACCCAGUGCCGCAGGGAAGCCGUUAAGUCUGCCGCCUGGGGAGUACGGUCGCAAGACUGAAACUUAAAGGAAUUGGCGGGGGA